UACAGAGGUCCCAAGCGUUGUUCGGAUUCACUGGGCGUAAAGGGUGCGUAGGUGGCGGGGUAAGUCGGAUGUGAAAGCUCGGAGCUCAACUCCGAAAUGGCAUUGGAAACUACCCUGCUAGAGGAUUGGAGGGGGGACUGGAAUACUUGGUGUAGCAGUGAAAUGCGUAGAUAUCAAGUGGAACACCAGUGGCGAAGGCGAGUCCCUGGACAAUUCCUGACACUGAGACGCGAAAGCGUGGGGAGCAAACAGG
rnacentral:rRNA from 1 species